rnacentral:rRNA from 1 species
UACGGGGGGGGGGCAAGCGUUGUUCGGAAUUACUGGGCGUAAAGGGCUCGUAGGCGGCCAACUAAGUCAGACGUGAAAUCCCUCGGCUUAACCGGGGAACUGCGUCUGAUACUGGAUGGCUUGAGUGUAGGAGAGGGAUGCGGAAUUCCAGGUGUAGCGGUGAAAUGCGUAGAUAUCUGGAGGAACACCGGUGGCGAAGGCGGCAUCCUGGACUACUACUGACGCUGAGUGAGCGAAAGCCAGGGGAGCAAACGGG